UGCUAAAAUGUGGAUGAAUCUUAACGACAUUGUGCUGAGUGAACUAAGCCAGUCAAAAAAGGACAAAUACUGU